AGAACGAACGCUGGCGGCAGGCUUAACACAUGCAAGUCGAACGCGUGUAGCAAUACACGAGUGGCGCACGGGUGAGUAACGCGUGGAUAUCUGCCUUUUGGUUCGGAAUAACCCCGGGAAACUGGGGCUAAUACCGGAUGGUUCCUACGGGAUAAAGAUUUAUCGCCAAAAGAUGAGUCCGCGUCCGAUUAGCUAGUUGGUGGGGUAAUGGCCUACCAAGGCGACGAUCGGUAGCUGGUCUGAGAGGACGAUCAGCCACACUGGGACUGAGACACGGCCCAGACUCCUACGGGAGGCAGCAGUGGGGAAUAUUGGACAAUGGGGGCAACCCUGAUCCAGCCAUGCCGCGUGAGUGAUGAAGGCCUUCGGGUUGUAAAGCUCUUUUGGCGGGGACGAUGAUGACGGUACCCGCAGAAUAAGUCCCGGCUAACUUCGCGCCAGCGAGCCGC
rnacentral:rRNA from 1 species